rnacentral:rRNA from 1 species
AGAGUUUGAUCCUGGCUCAGAAUGAACGCUGGCGGCGUGCCUAACACAUGCAAGUCGGAUGUGCCGCAAGGUGCAUGGCAGACGGGUGAGUAACGCGUAGGGAAUCUACCUUUUUGUGGGGAAUAACGCUCCGAAAGGAGUGGUAAUACCGCAUGAGACCGUGGCCUGGGAUGGUUACGGUGAAACCUGGGGACCGCAAGGCCUGGGGCAAAGAGAGGAUCCUGCGUCUGAUUAGCUAGUUGGCGGGGUAAUGGCCCACCAAGGCGACGAUCAGUAGCCGGCCUGAGAGGGUGAUCGGCCACACUGGAACUGAGACACGGUCCAGACUCCUACGGGAGGCAGCAGUGGGGAAUAUUGCACAAUGGGCGCAAGCCUGAUGCAGCGACGCCGCGUGAGGGAUGACGGCCUUCGGGUUGUAAACCUCUUUCAGUAGGGAAGAAGCGAAAGUGACGGUACCUGCAGAAGAAGCGCCGGCUAACUACGUGCCAGCAGCCGCGGUAAUACGUAGGGCGCAAGCGUUAUCCGGAAUUAUUGGGCGUAAAGAGCUCGUAGGCGGUUUGUCGCGUCUGCCGUGAAAGUCCGGGGCUCAACUCCGGAUCUGCGGUGGGUACGGGCAGACUAGAGUGAUGUAGGGGAGACUGGAAUUCCUGGUGUAGCGGUGAAAUGCGCAGAUAUCAGGAGGAACACCGAUGGCGAAGGCAGGUCUCUGGGCAUUAACUGACGCUGAGGAGCGAAAGCAUGGGGAGCGAACAGGAUUAGAUACCCUGGUAGUCC